CAGGAUGAACGCUAGCGGCAGGCCUAAUACAUGCAAGUCGGACGGGAUCCAUCGGAGAGCUUGCUCGAAGAUGGUGAGAGUGGCGCACGGGUGCGUAACGCGUGAGCAACCUACCUCUAUCAGGGGGAUAGCCUCUCGAAAGAGAGAUUAACACCGCAUAAUAUAUCUGAUUGGCAUCAGUUAGAUAUUAAAUAUUUAUAGGAUAGAGAUGGGCUCGCGUGACAUUAGCUAGUUGGUAGGGUAACGGCUUACCAAGGCGACGAUGUCUAGGGGCUCUGAGAGGAGAAUCCCCCACACUGGUACUGAGACACGGACCAGACUCCUACGGGAGGCAGCAGUAAGGAAUAUUGGUCAAUGGGCGGAAGCCUGAACCAGCCAUGCCGCGUGCAGGAUGACUGCCCUAUGGGUUGUAAACUGCUUUUGUCCAGGAAUAAACCUAGAUACGUGUAUCUAGCUGAAUGUACUGGAAGAAUAAGGAUCGGCUAACUCCGUGCCAGCAGCCGCGGUAAUACGGAGGAUCCGAGCGUUAUCCGGAUUUAUUGGGUUUAAAGGGUGCGUAGGCGGCCUAUUAAGUCAGGGGUGAAAUACGGUGGCUCAACCAUCGCAGUGCCUUUGAUACUGAUGGGCUUGAAUCCAUUUGAAGUGGGCGGAAUAAGACAAGUAGCGGUGAAAUGCAUAGAUAUGUCUUAGAACUCCGAUUGCGAAGGCAGCUCACUAAGCUGGUAUUGACGCUGAUGCACGAAAGCGUGGGGAUCGAACAGGAUUAGAUACCCUGGUAGUCCACGCCCUAAACGAUGAUAACUCGAUGUUGGCGAUAGACAGCCAGC
rnacentral:rRNA from 1 species